rnacentral:rRNA from 1 species
AUUGAACGCUGGCGGCAGGCCUAACACAUGCAAGUCGAGGGGUAGAGUUAGCUUGCUAACUUGAGACCGGCGCACGGGUGCGUAACGCGUAUGCAAUCUACCUUGUACAGAGGGAUAGCCCAGAGAAAUUUGGAUUAAUACCUCAUAGUGUUAUGAUGUGGCAUCACAUUAUAACUAAAGUUCCAACGGUACAAGAUGAGCAUGCGUCCCAUUAGUUAGUUGGUAAGGUAACGGCUUACCAAGACAAUGAUGGGUAGGGGUCCUGAGAGGGAGAUCCCCCACACUGGUACUGAGACACGGACCAGACUCCCACGGGAGGCAGCAGUGAGGAAUAUUGGUCAAUGGGCGCAAGCCUGAACCAGCCAUGCCGCGUGCAGGAUGACGGUCCUAUGGAUUGUAAACCGCUUUUAUACAGGAAGAAACACUCCCUCGUGAGGGAGCUUGACGGUACUGUAGGAAUAAGGAUCGGCUAACUCCGUGCCAGCAGCCGCCGUAAAAC